rnacentral:rRNA from 1 species
AUGGAACGGAAGAUGAGCGGAGAAAACCGAUCUGGGAUCGUGAGGAAAGCUCAGGCCAUUGAUAGGGUAUCCAUGGGAAGAAUCAGGGAAAGACUACAUGCCAUGCGAAGAGAUCUAGGCCGAGGUCUAGGAAGGAAAAGUACGGGGGUGGUAACCCCGAUCCCUUACGAAUCAAAGGAUACAGAUCCUCCUGAUAAGAUCAGAGGAUUAGCAGAAUCAGGAGACGAGGAAAGGGAUCAGUCAAAAGGCAAGGAAUUAUCUGCGAUUCCUGCAGUAUCGAUGUGCUCAGAUCGGUGGGAGGAGGCUAUAAAAAGUGGAGACUUCCAAGAGACAAUCACAAAUCCAGCGACCUCCCUCCUUGCUAGCAUUCUGAUCGUGUGCGCCCAGCCACUGGCAAUGGCGAACAAGGAAUCCCGAAAGGACAAGGCCCCAUUGGAAGCGGAGUCAGACGCUGGCCUCACUGGUGGCAGGAACCAGGCGGGGGUGAUGCUCCGUGGCGACUCCUCCCGCUCCCAGGGAGGCAGGGCGUCCAUGAGGAGGCUUGGAGCAGGCAGUGUUGUGUAA